UAGAAUGGUACAGUGCUAGGAGGUGCUUAUGUCAGUCACGAUGGAGAAAGGGAGCAAAAGAAAUGGAAAGAGAAAAGUUGGUGGUAGAUAAGAGAUAAAAUAAAUGAAAAUGGAGAGAAAAAAAGAGAAAAUAUGGAGGAGAGAGAGGAGGGGACGAAAAUGAGACGUUGGGAGAGUGGGAAUAGGUUGGUCAACUAGGUCUAGGUUUAACAAACCUCUUCUAUAGCAAGGAUGGGAAGGUUUUACAGGGGAGGGAGACAUGGAGUGAAAAGGGGGAUCAUGCAC
rnacentral:lncRNA from 1 species